rnacentral:misc_RNA from 1 species
UGCCUGUUCGAGCGUCAUUACACCACUCAAGCCCGGCUUGGUAUUGGGCGGUAGGGCUCUCCUACGCCUCAAUUUUACCGGCUAGACGACCCGUAUCUCAGCGUUGUGGUAUUCAAUUCGCUGGCGAGAAGGGCGGUCUGCGCCGUUAAACUUCUAUCAAGGUUGACCUCGGAUCAGGUAGGGAUACCCGCUGAACUUAA